GUGCUUUGACAGUACAUAUACUAAAAUGGGAAUAAUAUAGAGUAUAUUAGCAUGGCCCCUGCACAAGGAUGUCACACAAAUUUGUGAAGCAUUCCCUAUUUUU
ensembl:snRNA U6 U6 spliceosomal RNA